rnacentral:tRNA from 1 species
GGGGCUGUGGUUCUGUGGCAGAGCAUUUGCUUGGCAUGCAGGAAGCCCCAGCUUCAAUCCCUGGCAUCUCCA